AGUGAACGCUGGCGGCAGGCCUAAUACAUGCAAGUCGAACGGCAGCACGGCAGAGCUUGCUCUGUGGGUGGCGAGUGGCGGACGGGUGAGGAAUACAUGGGAAUCUGCCCAGUCGUGGGGGAUAACGUAGGGAAACUUACGCUAAUACCGCAUGCGCCCUUCGGGGGAAAGCCGGGGACCUUCGGGCCUGGCGCGAUUAGAUGAGCCCAUGUCGGAUUAGCUAGUUGGCGGGGUAAUGGCCCACCAAGGCGACGAUCCGUAGCUGGUCUGAGAGGAUGAUCAGCCACACUGGAACUGAGACACGGUCCAGACUCCUACGGGAGGCAGCAGUAGGGAAUAUUGGACAAUGGGCGCAAGCCUGAUCCAGCCAUGCCGCGUGAGUGAAGAAGGCCCUCGGGUUGUAAAGCUCUUUUGUCCGGAAAGAAAGCGCCGGGUUAAUACCCUGGUGUCCUGACGGUACCGGAAGAAUAAGCACCGGCUAACUUCGUGCCAGCAGCCG
rnacentral:rRNA from 1 species